AGUCCCGUAGUCUAGUGGUCUAAGAUACGGCCCUCUGGAGGCUGUGACGGAGGUUCGAAUCCUCCCGGGACUA
rnacentral:tRNA from 1 species